AUCUCAGCUUAAGCAAGAGGACCCGCCGAAUUUAAGCAUAUAAUUAAGCGGAGGAAAAGAAACUAACCAGGAUUCCCCCAGUAAGGGCGACUGAAGCGGGAAGAGCUCAGGAUGUGAAUCUGCGCCAGCCUAUCGCGGCGCCGAAUUGUGGUCUGUCGACUGUGGCAUUACUGGCCGGGCCAAGUCCCUUGGAACAGGGCAGCUGAGAGGGUGAGACUCCCGUCCGCCUGGCUGGGUGAGCCGCAAGUCAACGAGUCGAGUUGUUUGGGAUUGCAGCUCAAAGUGGGUGGUAAAUUCCAUCUAAAGCUAAAUAUUGGUGGGAGACCGAUAGCGUACAAGUACCGUGAGGGAAAGAUGCAAAGAACUUUGAAAAGAGAGUUAAAGAGUACCUGAAAUUGCUGAAAGGGAAGCGAAGGAAACCAGUGUCGGCUUGAUCAUAUUUCCCUGUCCGCUUGCGGUUUGGGCGCUGUGUCCGGCCUCGGUUGUUCUUGGUUGGGUCUGCUGGAAGAGCGCGGUGAGAGUUGAUCUCCGUUGCUAGCAGUGGUCCUGACUGAGGAGGACGAAAUGGUUUUCUUUACCCCGUCUUGGAACACGGACCAAGGAGUCUAACAUAUGUGCGAGUACAGGGGUGGCAAACCCCCGUGCGUAAUGAAAGUGACAGUGGUUGGACUUUUGCACAAUCCGCCGGCCUCAAUCCCUCGGGAGAACGGUCUGAGUGUGAGCAUACAUGUUGGGACCCGAAAGAUGGUGAACUAUGCCUGAAUAGGGUGAAGCCAGGGGAAACUCUGGUGGAGGCUCGUAGCGAUUCUGACGUGCAAAUCGAUCGUCAAAUUUGGGUAUAGGGGCGAAAGACUAAUCGAACCAUCUAGUAGCUGGUUUCCUCCGAAGUUUCCCUCAGGAUAGCUGGAGUUGAACAGUUUUAUCAGGUAAAGCGAAUGAUUAGAGGUUCCGGGGGCGUAAUGCUCUCGGCCUAUUCUCAAACUUUAAAUGGGUAAGAACCCUGGGUUGCUUAAUUGAACCCGGUGGUCGAAUGACGGUUGCUAGUGGGCCAAUCUGGGUAAGCUAGAUUGGCGAUGCGGGAUGAUCCGAACGUCGAGUUAAAGUGCCAAAGUAUCCGCUAACCUAGAUCCCACAAAAGGUGUUGGUUCAUAUAGACAGCAGGACGGUGGCCAUGGAAGUCGGAAUCCGCU
rnacentral:rRNA from 1 species